rnacentral:rRNA from 1 species
AUUGAACGCUGGCGGCAUGCCUUACACAUGCAAGUCGAACGGUAACGCGGGGCAACCUGGCGACGAGUGGCGAACGGGUGAGUAAUGUAUCGGAACGUGCCCAGUUGUGGGGGAUAACUGCUCGAAAGAGCAGCUAAUACCGCAUACGACCUGAGGGUGAAAGCGGGGGAUCGCAAGACCUCGCGCAAUUGGAGCGGCCGAUAUCAGAUUAGGUAGUUGGUGGGGUAAAGGCUCACCAAGCCGACGAUCUGUAGCUGGUCUGAGAGGACGACCAGCCACACUGGAACUGAGACACGGCCCAGACUCCUACGGGGGCAGCAGUGGGGAAUUUUGGACAAUGGACGCAAGUCUGAUCCAGCCAUGCCGCGUGCGGGAAGAAGGCCUUCGGGUUGUAAACCGCUUUUGUCAGGGAAGAAACGCUCUGGGUUAAUACCUCGGGGUAAUGACGGUACCUGAAGAAUAAGCACCGGCUAACUACGUGCCAGCAGCCGCGGUAAGAC